ACUCCAGGUGGGGUCUCACAAGGGGGUGAGCCCCAAAGACCAGCUCCAGGGACAGCAGCAGGUGGCGAGUUUGACUGGGGCGGCACACCUGUCAAAGUGUUAAUGCAGGUGUACAAAGGCAAGCUCAGGGAGGACGGAAACCUCCCGUAGAGCAGAAGGGCAAAAGCUCACUUAAUCUUGAUUUUUAGGAAAUAAAAAUAUAUUAUUGCUGCUUUGAGAGUAAUGAAACAACAUCAGGCAUUAAUAAGUCAAAGG
rnacentral:ncRNA from 1 species